CCGCCGUUAGUUGCCAGCGGUUCGGCCGGGCACUCUAACGG
rnacentral:rRNA from 1 species